UUGAUUUGAGUCUUACAUUUUUCUGAUGGGUGUAUGUGAAGGACAUUUUUCUGUGACACACGCACAUAGACAUUUGCAUUAGUGGACACAAACGCUUUGAAAGCUCUAGCGGGUGACAUUUUAGGGUCACACUUUUUUGCAGCUGUUCUGAUUGGUGGUGAUAGUGUUGGGGUGGGGAGAAGUGCUGUUCUUUCAGUCCUGUGCCUUUGUCAUAAAUCCAUUGAUAAAGAAAUGGUGCCUGCCUAUUUCAUGGUGGCCGCGAUUAGAAGAAUUAAUCAUGUAAUGUUGGCAAACAUUCUGAGGAUGUAAAGUGACAUUUGAGUUCUAAGUAAUACAGUUAAUCUCUCAUUUACAUGGGCAUCAUUGUAGAUCAAUAAAACACAGGCUAAAUGAGUAUCAUUAGUAGACAGACAACACUCCGUUUAUUCACAGAUAUUUCUGUACACCCUUGUGUUACACAUACUUAACUGAUUGUACAAUUGUUAUAUGGGAAUCAUUGAAAAAGCAGCCAUUUCUGGGGAUGAAACAUCUGUUUAGAGGCAGCUGCUCAGGACAUGAAAUAAGCAUGUAUUGCUGAAUUUAAACUACAGGAGGAACAUGUCAGCACAAUGUUGUUGCCCAGGCUGGAAUCCAACCAUGGCUCUGUGGCAGUCAGGCCCAUUCUUGAAGAAAAAAAAAUGCCACGAAAACUUUACAUAGUGGUCAGGAUGUUGGUUUAAAAUUUCAUUCCUGGCUAUUUCACAUAAAUCUGUAAAUGGCUUUUUAAAAAAACUUGAACACCUGAGCAGUUGGCAUGAGAAUGACGGAGUCUAGCUAAAGCUGUGCACUUCAAAAUCCAAAUAAAAUAGAAAUAUAUUUUGUGUUGAAACAGAUAGCCGUGUUGCUUUGAUUUAUAAUUAAUCUUAAAGUCUUAGUCUUGUCAGUAUAAAACAAACUGAAUCUGACUAUCUGACAAUGGCAUCUGCUACUUGAGAUGAAGGGUCCUGCAUUGUAUCAUUUGCAUUCUCCUAAAACAUGAUAGCUUAGCCUUGCAUAAUUUGCUGGCUUUCUGGGGCUCUCACAAAGAAGAGAUGCUGUGGUGAUAAGCUAUAUUACCUUAAAUACAUUAUUUAAUUCUUGAAAAUAGCAGUAAAUGGGUUCAGUUGCUCAGGGUUCUGGCAAUAUAUUUAAAAUUGCUUUGUCAUCUCCCGGUAUAUACAUGGCUUGUUUGUAUUUGGAUAAAUACAAACUUUGUGUGAGCCUCUAAGGUGAUGUUUGGGAAUGCUGUGUGCUGCUUCACCUCCAAAGAACGGAGUUCCAUGCUUGUCAGUUGUAAAUGCCUGUGGUUACACAAUGGUAAUGAAGAAGAGUAUGAGUGUUAUACAUGAACACAUAACCUGGAACAUCUUUCUAUGGGUGGAGGAAAAUAGCUGUGAUGCUUUCUUCUGGUGGAUGCCCCUAUUGGAUAAGCAAUGGGAGAAGUCUUCAGAAAAGUAACCUAAGCAAUCUUUUUGGAAAGUGUAUUUUAUUAGAAAGAGUCUAAUGAGACUUUUAAAAUUACUUCCUCCCCGACAUUAUGUAUUUGAGAAAGUUACUGGAUAUAAGGGGUGGGAUGGCGAGGAAUAGAGAGCAGAUACAUAACUGAGACACAUCUAGUGGGUAGGAAUUCAAGCUAUGGUUUCUAUGACAACAUGUAGAUCGAGCCAGAUCUGUGUUUUUUCAGAAUACUGGGUGAAUAGAAUGAAUUCUCAGUUGCCAGCAUAUCUAUGGCAGUGUACCUGAUGCUACAGCAGGGCAGUACUGAUGGGGCCCCCGGUUGUAUAUAGUGUUGUGGAGGACAGCCUGUAGAAGCACAUAAGGAUUUGCAUUCUAUUGGAGAAUUAAACAGUGAAUGAAGAGUUAGACUCAGAAUUGCAGCCAAGGAACGAUCUUGAUGAGAAGUCUAAAGAAGUGUUCCCAGCUAACUUGUGCCAUUAUUUAAGAACGUGUGGAUAGCAGAUGACCAUGAAGUUUAGGAUAGAGAAACCUUGAUGUUGUACUCCAGGCGUUUUGGUGUCUGCCAAGUUCCAGAUGUGAAGAGGCAUAUGGAGUUGCUAAUACCCAAGAAAAUGCCCAUGUAGUGUGGCUGAAAGGAAAUGUUCCAAAAUUAGACUCUUGCUGGUCCCUUGCACUCAUGGCCACCAAAAGAAACUCGCACAGCUCCCCUCUCUUUCCUGAUUGGUUUCUUACUGGUUCUUCUCUGCCACAGCCCUACCCAACUCAUGGAAUGUGCUUUUGUCUCUUCACCCUUCUGCUGAGGCAGCAGUCUGGAAUCAAUAGCUGACAAAUGUGGUUCAAGCCAGAAGAGCAGGUCAGCAAUUGGAAAGUGCCAAAUGGACCUGAAGAUGCUUCCCAGCUUUGAAAAACAGUGCCUCAUUUUACCGAGAUAUAUUGAAAUAAGUAUUUCAGAGCCAGAAAGGGUUACUGUUCCAUGU